rnacentral:rRNA from 1 species
UACGGAGGGAGCUAGCGUUAUUCGGAAUUACUGGGCGUAAAGCGUGCGUAGACGGCGAUCUAAGUCGGGUGUGAAAGCCCCGGGCUCAACCUGGGAAUUGCAUUCGAGACUGAAUAGCUAGGGUACGGUAGAGGGAAGUGGAAUUUCCGGUGUAGCGGUGAAAUGCGUAGAUAUCGGAAGGAACAUCAGUGGCGAAAGCGACUUCCUGGACCAGUACCGACGUUCAGGCACGAAAGCGUGGGGAGCAAACAGG